UCGGGAAGCUGUGAAAUAUUGCUGUAUAUAUACAUGUUGUUUCUUAAAAGGUUUACGUGCGUUGUCCCCGCCAUCGUGUUUACAAGGUACUAUCCACGAUGCUGUCAAUGGUAAAUGCUACAUCAUCAGAAAUAAAAAUGUACAGAGAGAUGUAGCCGAGAGAAAUUGUGAAAACAUGGGUUCUAUUCUAGCUAUUGUAAACAGUGAAUCAGAACAGACUUUCUUGAAUACAAACACAAAGUCGGUGAAAUACUGGAUUGGUAUUAAUGAUCAGGAAACCUCACGUGUGUUUAUGAAUCCCGAUGGCAGUGCUGCUACAUAUUUUUAUUGGUACUCAACCAAAAAACAACCGAAUGAUGAUAUAAAUUUAAACGAUCAACCUUGUGUCCAUAUGACAGAAGAUAAAUUGUGGCACGAUGAUGAGUGUUACAACAGAGAGAACUAUAUCUGUCAGCUUUAUCAAACACUUCCAGUAGUACAAGUAACCUUUGCUCGUCGACCCAAUCAACUAUUCAAUGAUGGUGAACUUUACGAGGUGUAUACGGCUCGAAAUCGAAUAACCUGUCAAAUUGAAUGUGUAAAGUAUCAAACAUGUAUUGGUUACGUGUAUAAUACCUUACACAAAUAUGACAAUUGCCAGUUAAUAACACCUUUAUUGAAUGCGGACCUCUCAUUGGUAGAUCCAGGCAACCAGGUUUUUGAAGCUGUUGAAAGAUGAUAAGGAAUGUAAUAUCGGUUAGUGAACGUCAUACAGGAUGACGAAUGACACAUAGAAUAUGUA